rnacentral:rRNA from 1 species
UAUUGGUCAAUGGGCGCGAGCCUGAACCAGCCAAGUCGCGUGAGGGAUGACGGCCCUACGGGUUGUAAACCUCUUUUGUCGGGGAGCAAAUUCCGUUACGUGUAACGGAGUCGAGAGUACCCGAAGAAAAAGCAUCGGCUAACUCCGCGCCAGCAGCCGCGGUAAUACGGAGGAUGCGAGCGUUAUCCGGAUUUAUUGGGUUUAAAGGGUGCGCAGGCGGAGGCACAAGUCAGCGGUAAAAUCGCGGGGCUCAACCCCGCUCCGCCGUUGAAACUGUGUCCCUUGAGUGCGCGAAGGGUAGGCGGAAUGCGUGGUGUAGCGGUGAAAUGCAUAGAUAUCACGCAGAACUCCGAUCGCGAAGGCAGCCUACCGGCGCGCAACUGACGCUCAUGCACGAAAGCGUGGGUAUCG